rnacentral:rRNA from 1 species
GACGAACGCUGGCGGCGUGCCUAAUACAUGCAAGUCGAGCGGACGGAUGGGAGCUUGCUCCCAGACCGUCAGCGGCGGACGGGUGAGUAACACGUGGGCAACCUGCCUGUAAGACUGGGAUAACUCCGGGAAACCGGGGCUAAUACCGGAUAACUCUUUCCCUCACAUGAGGGAAAGCUGAAAGAUGGCAUCUCGCUAUCACUUACAGAUGGGCCCGCGGCGCAUUAGCUAGUUGGUGAGGUAACGGCUCACCAAGGCGACGAUGCGUAGCCGACCUGAGAGGGUGAUCGGCCACACUGGGACUGAGACACGGCCUAGACUCCUACGGGAGGCAGCAGUAGGGAAUCUUCCGCAAUGGACGAAAGUCUGACGGAGCAACGCCGCGUGAGUGAUGAAGGUUUUCGGAUCGUAAAACUCUGUUGUCAGGGAAGAACAAGUACCGGAGUAACUGCCGGUACCUUGACGGUACCUGACCAGAAAGCCACGGCUAACUACGUG